GGCCCUAUCGUCUAACGGUUAGGACGGAGCCUUCUCAAGGCUUAAAUCAGGGUUCGAUUCCCUGUAGGGUCA
rnacentral:tRNA from 1 species